UAUUACACUUUCAACUGAACUAUAUAGGGAACGACCAAACGAGAUUUCGGACACUCACUGAAAAUAUCGUUGUGUCAGAAAAUGCACCGGUUAUUUGUGUCAGGGAGGACCCAGCAUCAUGUAAACAAACCAAAACAAAAAUACUUCUAAUAUGUCCCUGAAACAAACGGAGUGAUCCGGAGAAUAGUAA